GUGGCACUGAGCAAGGUGCUGAGAGCCUUCAUGAGGUUCUUCCAUUUCUCAUGAAUUUUCUCCCUCUGCCAUGUGCGAGUUACAUCCCAAGACAUGAAAAGCCUACUACUCCAACUUGGCCCUUAAUUGAAAAUGUGAAUCAGAGCCACAGCCUAAUGGUAGUUCACAUCUAUUGUGAUUAUCUGUCUCUCUGCCUGUAACUAAUCUCAUUUUCCCUAAGAAUUACCUGAAAGAAGUAAAUCUGCCCUGAUUCUGUAUGAUUGAUUCCAUCUUUGUCAUUCUGCCUAGAAAACUUACUUCAAGAUCAUGUUUGAUAUAGAGGAAAAUAUACUGGAUUGUCUGAUAUGUCUGCCAAUGAACUAUCCAGAAACCAGCUGUAAUAGUAUUCAAUAUGUGGACUUCAUGGAAAAUGAUUCACCCUUUCCCUUAGAAAGGCCAGCAGACUCUUCAUGCGACUGGAGUGACCAGACAGAAGCACACUUUGUCCGG
rnacentral:lncRNA from 1 species